rnacentral:rRNA from 1 species
UAAUACGGAGGGGGCUAGCGUUGUUCGGAAUUACUGGGCGUAAAGCGCACGUAGGCGGCUAUCCAAGUUGGGGGUGAAAUCCCUGGGCUUAACCCAGGAACUGCCUUCAAAACUGGAUGGCUAGAGUCCGAGAGAGGUGAGUGGAAUUUCCAGUGUAGAGGUGAAAUUCGUAGAUAUUGGAAAGAACACCAGUGGCGAAGGCGGCUCACUGGCUCGGUACUGACGCUGAGGUGCGACAGCGUGGGGAGCAAACAGG